rnacentral:piRNA from 1 species
UGAGUAAAUGAGUGGAUAGAUAAGCUUCU